CCCAAAUUAACAUGAAGAGAAAAUUACAGCACAUCCAUGAUUUUCCCUGGAAUUUGAAGUCUUAAAAUCUUCUAAAGGUGCAGUAUCAGCAUGAAGCUAUACUGGAGUAUGACCCAUGUGCAGAAUGUCAGGCAGAUAUAUGAAUCAAUACUUUUCAUCGUUCCGACACUGUAUAAUUUCAUAACUUAUGAAGUGUUAUUUAUUCAAAGGGAGCAAGGUUUGAAAAUCUUCCACCCAGACUUCAUUUGCAUAAUAAAAAAUAGCAUAAGCAGCAGUCAUCACCAGCUUAGAGAACAAUGCACGUCAAAUAAGAUUUUAUUAUAAAGUGUGGAAGCAUUUUCAACAAAAGAAUCAAGGAUUUUCAUUCUCUGUGAAAUGACAUCUAAUUGAAGAAAAAGAAAAGAAGACUGAAUUUGUGAUCUAGAUCUCAAGCCAAACCACUCACCAACCUGUCAUGGACCAGGACCCUCUUGUGUUAGGCACUGUACAAACACACAACAGAAAGACGGUCCCUGCCCAAAGAGCUUAGACAUUGUUUCAAGAGUUCAAAUAAACAGAUGACUAUGAAAGCGAAUGUCUCUCAGCUAACCUGCACUCCACAAGGGGCAAUUUUUCCUGAGGCCAACAAAUCCAAUACCUGCUUCAUUUUCAGUUAUUUGAUGAUAAUUAGAAAGCCAGUGACACCGGUGAAGAAGUGGCAUAAAAUGUUUCCUGUCAGCAAUAUUACCAGGCAAGGAGCCAACUGUCAAGUGCACUAGCUGAAUCUUCAGGGGCAUCUCCAUGAGGAUCGUAUUUCAAUAAUCAAUUUUGGAGAUACCAAAGACAGAAUAAAGAGUUGUAGAAGCCCAUUUUGAAAGUGACAGCUGUAAAUACUAACCCAGGCAUGUAUAGAAAAAGG